rnacentral:tRNA from 1 species
GCAUCCGUAGCUCAGCGCUGGAUAGAAAGCAGUACCGGCUUAAACCGAGCGCGCGUCGGAGGCGUUCGAAUCCUCCCGGAUGCACCA